rnacentral:rRNA from 1 species
AGAGUUUGAUCCUGGCUCAGGACGAACGCUGGCGGCGUGCCUAACACAUGCAAGUCGAGCGGAGACAGUGAGUAGCUUGCUAUGAGCUGUUUUAGCGGCGGACGGGUGAGUAACGCGUGAGCAACCUUUCCCAGACAGGGGAAUAACACACCGAAAGGUGUACUAAUACCGCAUAAGACCACGGGAUCACAUGGUUCUGGGGUAAAAGAUUUAUCGGUUUGGGGUGGGCUCGCGUCCGAUUAGGUAGUUGGUGAGGUAACGGCCCACCAAGCCGACGAUCGGUAGCCGACCUGAGAGGGUGAUCGGCCACAUUGGGACUGAGACACGGCCCAAACUCCUACGGGAGGCAGCAGUGGGGAAUAUUGGGCAAUGGGGGAAACCCUGACCCAGCAACGCCGCGUGGAGGAAGAAGGUUUUCGGAUCGUAAACUCCUGUCCUUGGAGACGAGUAGAAGACGGUAUCCAAGGAGGAAGCCCCGGCUAACUACGUGCCAGCAGCCGCGGUAAUACGUAGGGGGCAAGCGUUGUCCGGAAUAAUUGGGCGUAAAGGGCGCGUAGGCGGCUCGGUAAGUCUGGAGUGAAAGUCCUGCUUUUAAGGUGGGAAUUGCUUUGGAUACUGUCGGGCUUGAGUGCAGGAGAGGUUAGUGGAAUUCCCAGUGUAGCGGUGAAAUGCGUAGAGAUUGGGAGGAACACCAGUGGCGAAGGCGACUAACUGGACUGUAACUGACGCUGAGGCGCGAAAGUGUGGGGAGCAAACAGGAUUAGAUACCCUGGUAGUCCACACUGUAAACGAUGAAUGCUAGGUGUAGGGGGUAUCGACCCCUUCUGUGCCGCAGUCAACACAAUAAGCAUUCCGCCUGGGGAGUACGGCCGCAAGGUUGAAACUCAAAGGAAUUGACGGGGGCCCGCACAAGCAGCGGAGCAUGUGGUUUAAUUCGACGCAACGCGAAGAACCUUACCAGGUCUUGACAUCCACUUAAACUUACAGAGAUGUAAGGUGUGCUUGCACAAAGUGAGACAGGUGGUGCAUGGUUGUCGUCAGCUCGUGUCGUGAGAUGUUGGGUUAA